rnacentral:rRNA from 1 species
GAUGAACGCUGGCGGCGUGCCUAACACAUGCAAGUCGAGCGAGAAGUUAUUUGUUGAUCCCUCGGGAGAUUCAAUUAAUGGAGAGCGGCGGACGGGUGAGUAACGCGUGGGUAACCUACCUCAUACAACGGGAUAACGCAUAGAAAUGUGUGCUAAUACCGUAUAAGACUACAGGAUCGAGUGUUCCAGUAGUAAAAACUCCGGUGGUAUGAGAUGGACCCGCAUCUGAUUAGCUAGUAGGUAGUGUAAUGGACUACCUAGGCGACGAUCAGUAGCCGGCCUGAGAGGGUGAACGGCCACAUUGGAACUGGGACACGGUCCAA